rnacentral:rRNA from 1 species
GACGAACGCUGGCGGCGUGCCUAAUACAUGCAAGUCGAACGCAGUGGGGACGGGUGAGUAACACGUGGGUAACCUCCCAUCAGAGGGGAUAACACUUGGAAACAGGUGCUAAACCGAUACUGAUGGAUGGACCCGCGGUGCAUUAGGUAGUUGGUGAGGUAACGGCUCACCAAGGCCACGAUGCAUAGCCGACCUACGAGGGUCAUCGGCAACGCUGUGACUGAGACACGGCCCAGACUCCUACGGGAGGCAGCAGUAGGUAAUCUUCGGCAAUGGACGAAAGUCUGACGGAGCAACGCCGCGGGAGUGAAGAAGGUUUUCGGCUCGUAAAACUCUGUUGUUAGAGAAGCGGUAGCUAACCAGAAAGCCACGGCUAACUACGUGCCAGCCGCCGCGGUAAUAC